GCCUACGGCCAUACCACCCUGAGAACGCCCGAUCUCGUCUGAUCUCGGAAGCUAAGCAGGGUCGGGCCCGGUUAGUACUUGGAUGGAGACCGCCUGGGAAUACCGGGUGCUGUAGGCU
rnacentral:rRNA from 1 species